UUUUGGAUCUAACUCUCUCUAUGUUCCUUCCUGACAGAGAUCCAUUCGUGAUCAGCUCGAAGAUUCUAACUGUGACGGUACGUCCUUUACCCAAGCCCACCGAGCCCUUGGUAUCAGUGGAACUCGCCCCUUUGCUCAAUGGCACAACAGAUCCUCAGUGUGUUGUCUGGGACUACGGAAACCCCCUCAUGAAUAAUCAGAAGUCCCUGUGAUGAAGUCUUUGACACUACAUUAAUUGAAUUAGUGAGCUGAAAUUUGCAUCAUUCGUCACCCCAAUUCCCAGUUUUCAAAACACA
rnacentral:lncRNA from 1 species